AGCUACGCGGUCAGGAUGGUUCGAGUAAGUGAUAUUGGGCUGGUAUUCCAAAGGUCGUAGGUUCGAAUCCCACCGUGGCCG